rnacentral:rRNA from 1 species
AGCGAACGCUGGCGGCAGGCUUAACACAUGCAAGUCGAACGCUCGUCUUCGGACGGGAGUGGCAGACGGGUGAGUAACACGUGGGAACGUACCCUUUGGUUCGGAAUAACUUGAGGAAACUUGAGCUAAUACCGGAUACGCCCUUUUGGGGAAAGGCUUGACUGCCGAAGGAUCGGCCCGCGUCUGAUUAGCUAGUUGGUGGGGUAACGGCCUACCAAGGCGACGAUCAGUAGCUGGUCUGAGAGGAUGAUCAGCCACACUGGGACUGAGACACGGCCCAGACUCCUACGGGAGGCAGCAGUGGGGAAUAUUGGACAAUGGGCGCAAGCCUGAUCCAGCCAUGCCGCGUGAGUGAUGAAGGCCUUAGGGUUGUAAAGCUCUUUUGUCCGGGACGAUAAUGACGGUACCGGAAGAAUAAGCCCCGGCUAACUUCGUGCCAGCCGCCGCCGUAAAAC